AAAAAAAAAAAGCCUUCCUUAAAGCAACCACUGUCGUCAAGUCACGUGCCACCUCUAUCUUCACUGACUAGGAAGAAUCCGAUGAUUGCAUCCAAGAUCCCGGGCUGGAGCAAGCUAGAGACGCUUCUGACAAACAAAGUGUGCCGCUGGUCCUGGGAGCCUUGGAUAUGUUGGUGGGAGUAGAGGUGGGAAAGGAGAUGCUGGGGUCAUAGAUGAGUGGUUGUUUGGGUGAUCAAUAAAGAAGAAAGAAGAGAGUGGAAAUGAGGAGAGAGGUGAGGGGUCAAAUUUUGACUGAAGGUUUUAUGUAAAAGAUAAAAAAGUUUAUCCUGCUUUUACUUUGGAUUUUGGUAGUACUUUAGUUUUGUAAGAAAAUAAAUGUUAGUGUUGGAAGAAUAGCUAUUUGUAAAAAUCAAAUUUUGAGUUUUCCUCUUUCAUAAAAUACCCGGAUUGUAUUUUUUAAAUUUUUUAAAUUUUGUUAAAUUUUAAAUUAAUAUUUUCUUAGUAUUUUUUAUUGUUUUCUGACAUUAAAAAUAUAAAAAAUAUUAUUUUAAUAUAUUUUUAAAUAAAAAAACAUUUUAAAACAAAAUUUCACCCUACGAGUUUGUUUUAUUUUUGUGAUCUGGUUCUUCAUAAUUUGCUUUUAUAGGAAAGUUGUGCUACGAGGAUUUAACCUGCAAAAUAUUUAGUAUAUCUAUCAUAUGGAUUAUGUUUACAGGUCUCUUUCGAAACCCAGUUUUAAUGCCUUGAGUUGUGAAUGCUUCAAGUGCUUGACAGGAUCUGCUAGAGGAUCUUUCAAAGACGCAACCACGAGUGGACGCCAAGGCAAGAAGGCACUUUGCUUAGAUUAUUGAAGUUCACUAUACUAUGGAUGCGAAGGGAAUUCUGACCUGAGAGGACUCUGACUCCAUGGAAAGUGAAGUCUUCACCGGAGCAGAGGUCAAUAUGGCCGAUAACAGGUCCUAAAAUAUUCUAAUUAAGAAGAUAUCCUGUUCACUGUCAGGUUUGCUUGUUAUUUGAAGAUUUGGAAUGGGUGGUGCCUGUAGUGUAUAAUUCGGUGGAACAAGUGAGGUCUCUUCUCGGUUACUAGAAUUUAUCCGAAUUGGCCUUAGAAAUAGACGGCCAGGGUUCUGAUGCUAACACUUUUUUCUUUCCUGGAAAACCACAUUGAAGAUUCGGUGUGCUUUUGGCUUUGCAAAUGUAUCAAGAUCUAGAGACUAUAAGGCAAACUGGUUUGAUUCUUUUAUCAUUAGAAUGCGUAAUUCAUACUUAUUGGCGAGAAAGCCUUUCUCUUAGUUUACUUGCAAUAUCUUGGAUGUCAGAGAACAUGCGAUUGAAUCUUAUCCCUUUGGUCUGCCAUGGUAACUGGUUUUCUACUGGGAAUCAGCCCUUGGAAGUUGGAGCCAAAAGCUUUGAGAUGAUGGCAAACCGGUCAUGGUGUGAAAAGUUGAAAAAGCAUAUAGAUUUCAGUGGCUGCAAUUCUACUUUCGCUAGACAUAGCAGGAACCUUGCCUGAGAAGCUCUUCGUACAGGAUUGCCAACAUCUUUAUCUGGCAUUUGGCUUUCCUGUGAAGCCUGCAAUAUGUCCUCUUGCAUGUAGCUGGGCCAUCUGGAAUCUUGGAUUAAUUAAAAUGGUAAACGCUAGAAAAACCUCCACUUCCAAAGCCAAAAAAACAUCGAGCUGUCAAUUUCUCGGAAACCUUUUGCAUUAUUGAAAAAGACAAUUACUUUAAGCACCUAACGUGAUCCAUCAAAGCCUAAUGUGUGGUUCAAUAUGAUUGGUGGUGAUGGAUUUGUAGCCUCAUCCCCUUGACCGCAUUAUUCAUGGAGGUAACCAAGAAUCCUUGGAGCAGGGAUGGUGCUUGUAUGGCAACUUGUGUGAAUAAUUAGGAUUACUGUAUACUCCAAUCACGAUCUGAUGCGAUUUUCAUUGCGAAACAUAACUCA